rnacentral:rRNA from 1 species
GGCAGUGCGGAGCUACCAUGCAGUCGAACGGAAUCUUCGGAUUUAGUGGCGGACGGGUGAGUAACGCGUGAGAAUCUGCCUUCAGGAUGGGGACAACAGUUGGAAACGACUGCUAAUACCCGAUAUGACGAAAGUUGAAAGAUUUAUCGCCUGGAGAUGAGCUCGCGUCAGAUUAGCUAGAUGGUGUGGUAAUGGCGCACCAUGGCGACGAUCUGUAGCUGGUCUGAGAGGAUGAGCAGCCACACUGGGACUGAGACACGGCCCAGACUCCUACGGGAGGCAGCAGUGGGGAAUUUUCCGCAAUGGGCGCAAGCCUGACGGAGCAAUACCGCGUGAGGGAGGAAGGCUCUUGGGUCGUAAACCUCUUUUCUCAGGGAAGAAUACAAUGACGGUACCUGAGGAAUCAGCAUCGGCUAACUCCGUGCCAGCAGCCGCGGUAAUACGGAGGAUGCAAGCGUUAUCCGGAAUGAUUGGGCGUAAAGCGUCCGUAGGUGGUUAUGUAAGUCUGUGGUUAAAGCGUGGGGCUCAACCCCAUAAGGGCCAUGGAAACUACAAGACUAGAGUGAAGUAGGGGUAGAGGGAAUUCCCAGUGUAGCGGUGGAAUGCGUAGAGAUUGGGAAGAACACCGGUGGCGAAAGCGCUCUACUGGACUUAAACUGACACUGAGGGACGAAAGCUAGGGGAGCGAAAGGGAUUAGAUACCCCUGUAGUCCUAGCCGUAAACGAUGGAUACUAGGUGUCGGGGCUCAUAGAGUUUCGGUGGCGCAGCUAACGCGUUAAGUCAUCCGCCUGGGGAGUACGGCCGCAAGGUUAAAACUCAAAGGAAUUGACGG